UAUCUACUCCCUCCGUCCAACAAAAGAUGUCUCAAGUUUGUCAAAAUUUAGAUGUAUCUAGACAUGACUUAGUGUAUAGAUGCAUUCAAAUUUAGUCAAAGUUGAGACAUCCUUUAUUGGAUGGAGGGAGUAUGUG
rnacentral:pre_miRNA from 1 species